UAUUAACAUAUUUACUAAUGUUAAAUUAAUGCAAUAAUUUGUUUUGUAUUUUAUACUUUUAUAGUAACUCCAACCAAAAAAAAAGAUCAAAAGAUAUAUGAACAACAAGCACCCAUUGUGGACCAAUCUCCAAGUAAAAUUUCAAGAUAUUUUAGUAUAAUAUGAUAAUAUAGAUAAUGAAAGUGUUAUGUCAAAUGGGUUCUUACGUUUUAGAUACUCUUCAUUCAAACACAAUUCAAUUGUUACCUAAUUCAGUGGAAAGAAAAACUGUAGACAUUUAUUGCCAUGGUAACUAUAUCAAUUUUUUUCGUCAUUGUUCAAUAUAAAUAUAUAAAUAUUAUUUAAUACAGUUAUUGACUUCAUCUUUGGAUUAUAGUUGAUUUUGAAAUGAGUGGAAUUGGUAUGCUUGAUGAUACAGAGAAUUCUCCUUUAUUAAAUAAUGUACACGGUAAUAUUUAAAUCAUUAUAAUUUAUCACACAUUUUUUUUUCUAAAUACUUUAGUUUUGUUGUAUUUAUAGAUCAUAUAUUACCACCGAUAGACAAGACCAAAGAAUUUAGUACAAAAUACAAGGGUAGAGAGAAAAAUGAAUUGUUAAAAAAUAUUAAUGUACCAAGCCAGCGUCAUUUAACACCCAACUGUAAAAAGCUGUUUCACGAAGCUAUGAAACUUAAAAAAAAAAGUGAACGCUUACGACAGAACAAAAAUAAUUUUAAAACUAGAGUAAAGCUGAUUGAAAAAUUUGCAAAAUCUCCUUGUACUGAUAAACUGAUGAACAAAUUAAACUUAACAACACUAGAAUUUUUCAAAUCACAAAUUAAAUGUCAAACAACUGAUAACAAUUUAUAUUAUAGGGGGGGAGUAGGUAGCAGUACAGUGCUCUCGACUGGCGGAGAGAAGCAGCAGUCUUGCGUACCGUUCCUAUCGGUCGGUCGUUGCGCACCGUUUUUUUUUUUAUUUGUAUUCCUCUAUUGUGUUUUAUUAUAAUUAAUCAAUAAAGUAUUGUUCUAAGGUAUAAUUAUUUACUGUUGAUAAAUGUGUUUUAUAAAUCGUUAACACAACCAAACCCAAGGGUCGCAGGUAUUCGUUACAAGACAAAUUGUUAUCUUUAUCUAUAUUUAAAAAUUCUCCAAAAGGAUACCGUUUUCUCUCAACUAUAUUUUUAUUGCCUU